rnacentral:rRNA from 1 species
UACAGAGGUCCCAAGCGUUGUUCGGAUUCACUGGGCGUAAAGGGUGCGUAGGCGGUUGGGUAAGUCUGUCGUGAAAUCUCCGAGCCCAACUCGGAAACUGCGACGGAUACUAUUCAACUCGAGGAAUGGAGGGGAGACUGGAAUUCUCGGUGUAGCAGUGAAAUGCGUAGAUAUCGAGAGGAACACCAGUGGCGAAGGCGAGUCUCUGGACAUUUCCUGACGCUGAGGCACGAAAGCCAGGGGAGCAAACGGG